CCGGUGUUAUCCUGUGCAUGUUUACUCGAAAGUAAAUCCUCUCAGUGCUGCACAGGGCGCAGUCUCGGAUGAAUUUGUUUGACUGCAGCAAAAAAGAAAAUAAAAGAAGGAACCUUCUCUCCCCACAAUGCACCACAAGCUGGGCUGGAGGAUCUCCGGAUACCUGAAAAUUGGUCUACCUCCCCACAAAGGAAGAUGGGCUGAUAUGCCUACUCACACACCUCAAGAUUGCAGGACCAGAAGAAAGGCUUCUCACCACACAGGAGCCAUGAAUGACUAAGAAGGCCUUAAGAACCUGGGAGAUGCACUGAAUUCUAAACAAAAUGAUCCGUUUGUUGAGAUUUCCAUAACU